GGCAGUGACACGGGGUGCCCCUUGCGGGGCUGAGAAUCACACCCGUUGAACCUGAUCUAGUUAGCACUAGCGAAGGGAUGUCCCGCCGGUUUUUG
rnacentral:ncRNA from 2 species